rnacentral:rRNA from 1 species
GCAGUCGCCGCGGUAAUACAGAGGGUGCGAGCGUUAAUCGGAUUUACUGGGCGUAAAGCGUGCGUAGGCGGCUUCUUAAGUCGGAUGUGAAAUCCCUGAGCUUAACUUAGGAAUUGCAUUCGAUACUGGGAAGCUAGAGUAUGGGAGAGGAUGGUAGAAUUCCAGGUGUAGCGGUGAAAUGCGUAGAGAUCUGGAGGAAUACCGAUGGCAAAGGCAGCCAUCUGGCCUAAUACUGACGCUGAGGUACGAAAGCAUGGGGAGCAAACAGGAUUAGAUACCCGAGUAGUCCCUGUCUCUUAUAC